GGGGCUCUGCACCUGGCGGGACGAGCAGCACAGGCAUCGGCAGCGGACGGUACCCUGACCUAGAAGCAACCUUACUCCAAGUGGAAUGAUCCUUGUGGUGUGAGGAUGCUGUGGAAGUGUGUUCAUGGAAUUCAGCAGGAUUGUGGGCAAGAACCUC